CCCAAACAAUGCAGUCUGAUGGAAUCAGCUGGGGUCUGGCCCAUCCCUUGCAUUCACCUGCAGCCGUGGGAAGCGGCAAGACCUCCCCCGCAGCCCGCUCUGCUUCCUGCCACUGAGUGUGGAGGUGGACCCAGUUCCUGCUGCUGGCUCCAGGUUCCCCCAGGUCACUCCAGGCCCAGGAUAGUUACCCCUAAACCAUCCUACAGAUAGGACGACUCUGACAACAGGCUUCAUAAAAGGCUCCUUCCUAGAGGCAGAACCAACCCCACCGGACUUUGGUCCCUUUUCCAAGAUCCUCCCUACCAGAUCUAAGGAUUCUUGCAGCUAUUUCCACUUGCAACAUGGUGACGUCAGGACUUAGCACACCAGUGUGCCACGGAGAGCAACAGAAUUCAAAAUGG